rnacentral:lncRNA from 1 species
AGAAAUACAGCCCAUUUCUUUUCUUUUCUUUUUGGGUACAAGAAUCAUCUCAAAUUUACAUAUAAGUAGAAGAAUUAACAUUCUGAAAACAACAAGCAACCCAUCAACUAACCCACUGAACAUAACUAUUCAUGCCUCUGAUAGAGAAUAUUAAAUGCAUCAGCAGUCAGUAUAUGCGCAAAAAUACAACCCAUUUCUUUGAUAGGAGACAGAGAUGAGGAUGAGAAAAAUUAAGCACCCAUUGAUUGGAUGCACCUAUGAAUUUAUGCAUUGAAUAUUUUUUAUGUUGACCAUUGUAUAAAAUCAAAAGGAAGAAAAGGAAUGCUGAACAUCCUGUCCAAGUGCUGGCUCCUAAUUCCUGUUCAAUAGUCAUGGGUGAAAAUAGGGUGUUCGGACUAUCAAACGCUUGCUUGGAUGGUAUCAAUCCUUGCUACUUAGGUAAGAAAGUUGGGUUUCGAUAACCCCCAAAGGUAGAGCGGGUAUGAAGUAAAAAAAAAAAAAGAAGGUGUGAAUUAGUCUCUCUUAAUCUAAAAAGAAAAAAGAAAAAAUAAAAAUGAAGAUAGGGCCUCUAAGGUGGAGAAGCAAUAUGGGCUUAGACACACACUUGUGUUGGGGGGUGUUUUGAGUUUGGGCCUGCUUCCCAUCCCCCUGCGUACGAGGAGGAUAUUAAUUCAUAUAGGAAGGCCCAAGCCCAAGGAAUAUUGUUAUGGGGGUCACAUGAGACAAUGAAUGUAAUGCAUAAGUGACAGUGUCGAACUUAAGACGGCAAGAGAGAGACUCCACCCUGGUCCACCAUUUUCAAGCUUCCAUCCUUUAUGUGACCCUAGAGCUGAUUAAAAUCCGAGCCGGGCCAGGCUCGGGCCAGGCUCUACAGCAGAAAUUAGGCCCGAUAGCCUUGCCCAGGCCCGGCC